UUUACUCCGCCCCAACGAGAUCGAUGAUUCCGCCGCCCACUACUCGCUCAUCCUCGCUCCGCGCCUCCUCGCGUGUCCCUGCCGCCACCACACUACACCGCUGCCCCCGCCGGAGUCGAGGCCAUCCCCAGCCGCUGCUGCCCCCCGCCGGAGCCAAGGUCGUCACCAGCCGCCACUGCCCCGCUUGAGCCGAGGUCAUCCCCAGCCGCCGCCGCACUCCACCGCUGCCGCAAGCCACCGCCGCCGCCGAGUCAGUGGUCUCAGGUUGUAGGCAGGAGAAGGCGAUUUCAUAGCAGGGUGCAAUGGCAACAUCAUACCAUCCCUCGCAAUGCCUCUGGACUAAAGGCGAUGCAGCUGGAUACAUGUUCCUGUAUCCAUGUUGGAGGUGGAUUUCCUAUAAGUAGGUUAAUUACAUGGUUGAUGGAAUCUUCAUGGCAUCAGGUUCUACUUUGCAAAUUUACAAAUUAUUUUUUCCUCUAUAGUUCUGUCCCUAUGGACUGAUAUAUAUUUUGUAUCUGAAAAUGCAUUUGGGGCUUGAUGUGGCCAUGCGGAUUCUUGAGUGAAAUAUCCAGCAAGUUCCAUGGGUGCUGGAAAUUUGAAUAUAGCAUGACAUCCACAAACGGGCUUCAGGAAUUAAGAGGAAGCCAAUCAUGACAAGGGCCUCCUGAGCUAAUGUUGUGUAUUGCACGUACUUCUUUGUGUCUCAAUUUGGGCAACUGUUGUAUCAAAAAAUUUUGUUAAUGAAGCUAAUAUCUCAAUUGUUGUCAGUUGUUCCUAUGAAUACAUGUGCUUGAGCAUUAAAGAAACAAAUGUCUUCAGAUAUGCACUUUCAUGAAUUCUGAGAGAAGAUAUGGACCUCCCACAGCUAGCUAUGGAGAAACAUGCACAGUUUAGACAAAAUGUCAGAGUGCCUAGGAAGACAUGCUGAAGACAUGUUGGGUUUCUUUUUCCAUAAAAUAAAUUAGUAUACCAUUUCUACAUCUUGGCAAAGGUUGUACUUGAUGAUCUUUUAUGGCCACUGUAGGUUAGUUAUUCACUGUUGUCUCUCCUUUCGUUGGAGAAUGGGCUCCAUGGUGCAAUGGUUGCAGUUGUUGGUUUUGAACAAAGUUUUAGUAUUUUUUGCGGUUCAUGGUACUUAUUCAACUAUAAUAGCCCUCAAGACAAGCAUAUAUUAUGAGGUAACUCAUUGUCUACUAAAGUUGAAAAAUUAAUUUAGUUCAUACUUAUGGUACUUAUUCUGCUAUAAUAGCCCUCAAGACAAGCAUAUGUUCUUAAGGUAACUCACUGUCUACUGAAGUUGAAUAAUUAAUUUAGUUCAUACUUGAACUGGUUUAUCAUAAAUAAGGUGCGUGAUUAUUCAAUGAUCUAGAGUAAAGUAAUCGAUCUGCAUGGUCUUUUGUUCGUCAACGAGAACUCUCUGAAGUUUCAUUCCCAGGAUCUGGUGGCAACAGCUCUGUGGCUCAAUAGUAAGAGGAGGGGGCGUUGAGAGACCAGGAAGUGAACUGUUGGCUACAAUUGGUAAGGUAUGCCUUUUUUUAAUUACUGGCUCAAAUGGACUAAUAAUUGGUGUUAUUAUGUGUAUUACAAUAGAUAUUAUAUACAUUAUCUGUGAUAUAUUCCAAAAAGUGCUCUUCAUAGAUAAACCAUCGACUACCUCAUGUGAGUUAUUAAAGU